rnacentral:lncRNA from 1 species
AGAAUGAUUCUGAAAAUCUGGCCAAACCAAAAGGUCAAACCAGUCCAACUGUGAACUGGUAGCAAAAACGGUCCGAUUAAUCAUGUGAAACUUCUGGUAGAAAAAUCGGUGGCGAACCGCUGAGCUGGUCGGGAAUUGUCCAAUUGGACCGAACCAAAAAUUGGCUGGUUUGAAGGAAACAGCGUCGUUUUGAAUCAUUGAAAGUCUAAAAUCACUCGACUAUGCCUCGGAGCCUCUCACUUCACUUCUCACUCUCUCUUCAGGCCACUGCCGCUGUCCGUCUGUCGAGCCACUGCGGCCGUCCUUCCGGCCCGCGUCGCCAGCUUCCCACCAUCGUUUGGUUGUCCUUCACCGUCCAGUCUUCCGUAGCCUCCAACCAUUCUGCUCAUUCAGAAGCUUUUUCGCGUCUCAUCGCAACUCUAGUUCGGCCUUCAUCGCCCGUCCUCCAUUGUUGCUCAUCCUUCGUCCGUCUGAUGCUCGUCAUCGGCGUUCUUGCUUCUUC